rnacentral:lncRNA from 1 species
GAACAGAGAGUUACCACAGCCAGCCCUGCCCAGUGGGGCAUUACUGUCCAGCCAAGACUCACAGCCCCAGGCCCUGCCCCUCAGGAACCUUUGGAAACAGCAGCCAGGCAGGGGCAGUUGGAGAGUGCCUGCCAUGCCCCGCAGGCACCUUCAGUGCCCAUCCUGGCCAGGCCGGCUGCCUCCCCUGUGGGAGCUCUUCUUUCUCUCCACCUGGUGCCUCCCACUGCACGUGUCGGGGCCUUAACAGGGUCUUCCAGAAGUCAGAUGGUUCCUGCAUCUGCCAGGCAGGACAUGAGUCCUACAGCAGGAGGGGCCUGGAAAGUGAGGAGAACGACAGCGAUGAGGACUGUCAGCCCCAGGUAACACCUCACUCAGCCUUAGGAAAGGAAGGCUUGAGGAGAGUGAGGAGAGGUAGCAUUUAUGGGUCCCUCUGCAUGCCAGCUGCUUUUCAUUGUCUGUUGGGUUAAUGUGUAGUCCUUUGUGGUGGAUGGAUUACCUCCUAUACAAAUGAGAACACUUUAGAAAGCUCUCAUGAUAAGACAUAUUUCUCCUUAUCAUAGACCCACAAAUUUCAGCAUUCAUUAUAAAGGAUCUUAGGAGAGUAAUUUGAUCACUCCACCCAGUCUCCCUAGAGUUGGACCUCCCAGUUACCUCUUCCAAGCAGCAAACUUGUCUUCUAUUACUAUUGUAGGUUCCCUCUACCUCAAGCCUAACCUUAAUCUUAGGGUGCUAACUAAAUGACCUCUCAGGGAGCCUGGUUCCCCAGAGGCCCCAUCAUGUCCCUGGAAUGUUCUCUGAUGCUGAGAGUGCCCUCAUCCUGGGCCUGCAGGGGGUUCCAGAGCCAGGACUCUUCUCCCACAUCCUCCUUCAGGUCGCUGAGCGCUGCUCAGCUGGAGAAGUACGUCUGGCUGCCACCCGCAAGUGUGUGUCCCCCCAGCUGCACAACUGCUCCUCUUUCUGCCACCCAGUGGAUGGGAAGCUCAGCACUGAACUGGGAAUCUGCCAGUGCCAGGAAUAUGUAUCAGCAGAAGAGCUCUGUGAUGCCCAGUGUCUGGCUAAGGCCCCCCAACUCUCCCUGGCCUGGGGUUCCAGCAGGGAGCUGAUCCUCAGCGUGAAGGGCGAGGCUGGAGACCAUGACCAGAGGGUGAGCCCACCUCGGGGAAGGGCUGGGAUAGAAGGGCAGCCUCUGCCUGCUGGGGACAAGGGGGAAAAAAUCUCCCAGGCACCCUGGCUGCAGAAACCAGGCAGCAGAAGAGGGAGCACCACCUCGAUGGCUCAGUCGGUUAAGCAUCUGACUGUUGAUUUCAGCUCAGGUCAUGAUCUCAUAGCUCAUGAGAUUGACCCCCACAUCAGGCUCUGCAUUGACAGUGCAGAGCCUGCUGGGGAGUCUCUCUCUUCCUCUCUCUCUCUCUCUCUCUCUCUUUCUCAAAAUAAAUAA